GAUAGCUGAUUUUUUUUCUUCAUGAGCAGUAUUUCUGUUGUUAUGAGAAAAAUCUUAGAAUAUCUUCAUGCCUAUGAUAUUUCUUACAUACAUAUCACCAUACCAUUUAGGCAGCAGAGAUCAUUUGGGACAUAUAGAGAUUCUGCUGGAACAGAUUUUAUCUCAUGUCCUUUUUUAGCAAGGUGAAAUUCAAACUUAAGAUGGCCAACUGAAAGCUGCAGGACCAUGUUUUCCACUUGAACUUUUUGUUUUUUAAUGGUUUUAGCAGUGAAGAGAUUUCAUACAGUCCUCAUCCUCAGGAUCAAUGCUGCAGAAAGAAAAGAAGUUCUCUAUAGAACAAUGCUUUAAGGUCUCCAUGUCUUUCUUACACCUUCUACGGGAAAACAACAUCAAUGGGGAAAGCCAGCUAAAAUGAGGACCUUAGCAUCAUGUUCAUGGGUAUGGAUUACUUGUGCAAGAAUUUUUUAAGAGUCAAGAAGAGUUAUGCAGUGAUUUUUCUAUCUGCUUUCUGGCUGCCAAUUUUGCAAAAUUUCUGGAGGCAGUAACUCAUGUAAACUCCUUAGGCACAGCAUGUGAGGACCUGAGGUCUACUUUUCUCUAAUGAUCUGAUUCCAAGAUGAAGAGUCUCCCAGAUAAGGUUCCUGCUGUCAGUAGCACAUGAGAAAAGAUUACUGAGAGACCCUUCUCCAGCAAGAACCAGCAGGUGAAAAGUAAAUGAAAAAGCACCUUGCUGUGUUCCUUAAGAGCUAACUCUACACUCCAUGUGCUCAGGUGCUGUCACUUCUGUAGGGCAGAAGCCCUGGUGCCUGAAGUGUGUGCUUAUUCUUAGCAGUCUUCAGCAGGAACUGAUGAUUUUUAUCUUUGGGAGGUUCCCAUCAAACCACAGUAAUACUGUUAUUAAAAUAAUAAUAAUAAUUAGAUAAGAAAGAAGCAAAUGCUUGUUCAUAUUUCAACAGUGUUUUACUAAGAAGAGUGCAAUCCUUUGCUGACGACAUAAGUUAGGUAGCUUUACUGACCUUUGUGUUUGGUUGUUUGUUCUUUUUGGAUCAUUCUAAUGUCUCACAUCCUAAACUCAUCAAGCUAUGGUUCACCUGAACUUUCUGUAAGGGAUGAUUUAAAAGGUAAGUGCAGUGCCAUCUUGUAAGUUCUGUGGCAUAGAGCAAAAUUUUAUUUCAAAGAUAUUUGCAUUAAUAUAAAAGUUCCAUGGACUGGGAGCCACAGACUUGUCACUGAGAGAACGUCUGAGUCUUUGAAUUAAUGCAUAGGUCCAGGAUUCCAGGCAGAGAACUUUAUAAAGAAGUAAUGGGGGUGCUACGCUGGAGAAGUCAUUUGCAAAAAAAUUAUUCAGAUGUGUUUGUCUCGUUAGUCCUUCAGAAAAUUGCUGGUAAAUAUACUAGCAACUUUUUGGACAUACUCAUUACUCAAAAUAACUUCCAACUGGAACAAGGUUCACAAGCAGAGCAUACACAGCCUUCAGAAAUGAACGUGGGAUCUCUUUGCAUUGGAUACUGACAUCUUGUGGUACAUUUUUUGGGAGGAUGGAUCCUGCUACAGUUUUUGCAAAACUUGAGCCAGUACAGAUAAAAUCAAAAUGGCAUUCAACCAAUGGGCUUGCAUAUAUUUAUGCCAAAAAAAGUCACAAGUUUUGUUAUUGUUGUUGUUGUAAAGCCAGAAAGAUUCCCAUCCCAACUGUAUUCCUCAAAAUUAGGGGUUAGAAUAUGUUUCAUAAAGUAGCUUGAUUUCCAAGACAGUAGAGCUGGUAUAGUCAUCUCAGUAUCAGUAGUAGAGUUGAAAGAGUAGCUCCAUCAAGUUUUGCUACGUUAUUUGAAACUGUAUAAAAACAGAUUGAGAACGUGAAUUGUUUCAAUAUUCCUAUAAAACAAUAGGCUUUUUGAAUUUUAGAGGUUCAACAGAGGGCAAGGAAUCUGUGUCCUGAAUACAAAAGUUGAAACUUUCAUCCAGCUUGGGAAAUAACUCUGAAAUCAUUUUCCUCAUUAGGUUCAGUUAUCCAUUUCAAGGAGCAUGGUCAUGUUUUGACAUGCCAUUCCAAAAACAAUAGUGACAGUUCAAAGCUGACUUACUCCGGAAGUGAUCCAAAACAACAAGAACUAACAGUGAUUCUAAAAUGCAUCACAGUAGUGUGC
ensembl:lncRNA